UACGUAGGGGGCAAGCGUUGUCCGGAAUCAUUGGGCGUAAAGAGCGUGUAGGCGGCCCGGUAAGUCCGCUGUGAAAGCCCGGGGCUCAACCCCGGAGGGUCACUGGAAACCAACAGUCUUGAGUCCGGAAGAGGAGAGUGGAAUUCCUGGUGUAGCGGUGGAAUGCGCAGAUAUCAGGAGGAACACCGAUGGCGAAGGCAGCUCUCUGGUACGUGACUGACACUGAGACGCGAAAGCGUGGGGAGCGAACAGG
rnacentral:rRNA from 1 species